AUUGAACGCUGGCGGCAGGCCUAACACAUGCAAGUCGAGCGGAGCGGCGGACGGGUGAGUAAUGCCUAGGAAUCUGCCUGGUAGUGGGGGAUAACGUCCGGAAACGGGCGCUAAUACCGCAUACUAUCAGAUGAGCCUAGGUCGGAUUAGCUAGUUGGUGGGGUAAAGGCCUACCAAGGCGACGAUCCGUAACUGGUCUGAGAGGAUGAUCAGUCACACUGGAACUGAGACACGGUCCAGACUCCUACGGGAGGCAGCAGUGAGGAAUAUUGGUCAAUGGGCGAGAGCCUGAACCAGCCAAGUCGCGUGAAGGAUGACUGUCUUUGGAUUGUAAACUUCUUUUAUACGGGAAUGUACCGUAUGAAUAAGCAUCGGCUAACUCCGUGCCAGCAGCCGCGGUAAUAC
rnacentral:rRNA from 1 species